rnacentral:rRNA from 1 species
UUCGAUGGUAGGAUAGAGGCCUACCAUGGUAUCAACGGGUAACGGGGAAUUAGGGUUCGACUCCGGAGAGGGAGCCUGAGAAACGGCUACCACAUCCAAGGAAGGCAGCAGGCGCGCAAAUUACCCAAUCCCGACACGGGGAGGUAGUGACAAUAAAUACUGAUACAGGGCUCUUUUGGGUCUUGUAAUUGGAAUGAGUACAAUUUAAAUCCCUUAACGAGGAACAAUUGGAGGGCAAGUCUGGUGCCAGCAGCCGCGGUAAUUCCAGCUCCAAUAGCGUAUAUUAAAGUUGUUGCAGUUAAAAAGCUCGUAGUUGAACCUUGGGCCUGGCUGGCCGGUCCGCCUCACCGCGUGUACUGGUCCGGCCGGGCCUUUCCUUCUGGGGAACCUCAUGCCCUUCACUGGGCGUGUUGGGGAACCAGGACUUUUACUUUGA